AUUGAACGCUGGCGGCAGGCCUAACACAUGCAAGUCGAGCGGAGCGGCGGACGGGUGAGUAAUGCCUAGGAAUCUGCCUGGUAGUGAGGGAUAACGUCCGGAAACGGGCGCUAAUACCGCAUACUAUCAACUGAGUCUAGGUCGGAUUAGCUAGUUGGUGGUGUAAAGGCCUACUAAGGCGACGAUCCGUAACUGGUCUGAGAGGAUGAUCAGUCACACUGGAACUUAGAAACGGUCCAGAAUCUUACGGGCGGCAGCAGUGGGGAAUAUUGGCCAAUGGGAGAAAUCGUGAUCCAGCCAGGACGCGUGGUUGAAGAAGGUCUUCGGAUUUUAAAGCACUUUAAGUUUGGAGGCGUUACCAACAGAAUAAGCAACGGCUAACUUCGUGCCAGCAGCCGCGGUAAUUC
rnacentral:rRNA from 1 species